rnacentral:piRNA from 1 species
AGAGCAUUGUUGGGUGAAUGUGC